rnacentral:tRNA from 1 species
UAGAGAGACCAACUGAGGAAUUUGAACCAAAGGCGAAAGCUAAGAGGUCAAAAGCCCAGAUAUCCCAAGGUCGUGCGAGGGAAGAAGAGGAAAAUCUUUCAAACUAUUAGUCGGUUCGGAUGUGGGCUAUUAGCUCAGGUGGUUAGAGCGCACCCCUGAUAAGGGUGAGGUCCCUGGUUCGAGUCCAGGAUGGCCCACCUUAUCUUUUUAGGUGAAAAGUGAGUGUUUGUUCUCAAUGAGAGCCGAACUCAAGGAAAAAAUCCACCACAUCAGCAAUCAAUCAAACCGACGUAUCCAGCACCUUAAAUUGCUUUUCUAAAAGCAAAAAAGAAUGCUGGAUAAUCAAUCCAGUCAGCACCUUGAAAACUGCAUAGCAAUUAGAAAACUGAUUCAAGCCAAGAAAGUGUCGAGAGGCAUUACAUACGCUUAAAUCAGAAGAGAUAGACCAUAGUGGUCAAGCGACAAAGAGCUUAUGGU